rnacentral:rRNA from 1 species
AUUGAACGCUGGCGGGAGGCUUAACACAUGCAAGUCGAACGAGUGGCGGACGGGUGAGUAAUGUCUGGGAAACUGCCCGAUGGAGGGGGAUAACUACUGGAAACGGUAGCUAAUACCGCAUACCAUCGGAUCGGCCCAGAUGGGAUUAGCUAGUAGGUGGGGUAAAGGCUCACCAAGGCGACGAUCCCUAGCUGGUCUGAGAGGAUGACCAGCCACACUGGGACUGAGACACGGUCCAGACUCCUACGGGAGGCAGCAGUGGGGAAUAUUGCACAAUGGGCGCAAGCCUGAUGCAGCCAUGCCGCGUGUAUGAUGAAGGCCUUCGGGUUGUAAAGUACUUUCGGCGGGGAGGCGGUACCCGCAGAAUAAGCACCGGCUAACUCCGUGCCAGCAGCCGCGGUAAUAC